rnacentral:rRNA from 1 species
GACGAACGCUGGCGGCGUGCUUAACACAUGCAAGUCGAACGGAAAGGCCCUGCUUUUGUGGGGUGCUCGAGUGGCGAACGGGUGAGUAACACGUGAGUAACCUGCCCUUGACUUUGGGAUAACUUCAGGAAACUGGGGCUAAUACCGGAUAGGAGCUCCUGCUGCAUGGUGGGGGUUGGAAAGUUUCGGCGUUUGGGGAUGGACUCGCGGCUUAUCAGCUUGUUGGUGGGGUAGUGGCUUACCAAGGCUUUGAAGGGUAGCCGGCCUGAGAGGGUGACCGGCCACAUUGGGACUGAGAUACGGCCCAGACUCCUACGGGAGGCAGAAGUGGGGAAUAUUGCACAAUGGGCGGAAGCCUGAUGCAGCAACGCCGCGUGCGGGAUGACGUCCUUCGGGGUGUAAACCGCUUUCGCCUGUGACGAAGCGUGAGUGACGGUAAUGGGUAAAGAAGCACCGGCUAACUACGUG